rnacentral:rRNA from 1 species
CAGUCGCCGCGGGAAUACGUAUGUCACAAGCGUUAUCCGGAUUUAUUGGGCGUAAAGCGCGUCUAGGUGGUUAUGUAAGUCUGAUGUGAAAAUGCAGGGCUCAACUCUGUAUUGCGUUGGAAACUGUGUAACUAGAGUACUGGAGAGGUAAGCGGAACUACAAGUGUAGAGGUGAAAUUCGUAGAUAUUUGUAGGAAUGCCGAUGGGGAAGCCAGCUUACUGGACAGAUACUGACGCUAAAGCGCGAAAGCGUGGGUAGCAAACAGGAUUAGAUACCCCUGUAGUCCCUGUCUCUUAUAAU